rnacentral:rRNA from 1 species
AUUGAACGCUGGCGGCAUGCCUUACACAUGCAAGUCGAACGGUAACAGGUCUUCGGAUGCUGACGAGUGGCGAACGGGUGAGUAAUACAUCGGAACGUGCCUAGUAGUGGGGGAUAACUACUCGAAAGAGUGGCUAAUACCGCAUGAGAUCUACGGAUGAAAGCAGGGGAUCGCAAGACCUUGUGCUACUAGAGCGGCCGAUGGCAGAUUAGGUAGUUGGUGGGAUAAAAGCUUACCAAGCCGACGAUCUGUAGCUGGUCUGAGAGGACGAUCAGCCACACUGGGACUGAGACACGGCCCAGACUCCUACGGGAGGCAGCAGUGGGGAAUUUUGGACAAUGGGCGCAAGCCUGAUCCAGCCAUGCCGCGUGCAGGAUGAAGGCCUUCGGGUUGUAAACUGCUUUUGUACGGAACGAAAAGACUCUGGUUAAUACCUGGGGUCCAUGACGGUACCGUAAGAAUAAGCACCGGCUAACUACGUGCCAGCCGCCGCGGUAA